ACUCGGUAUUUACUUUAAAAAAAUGAAAACAUUAAUUUUGAAGUCAUAUAAGCACCCCUGUGUUUAUCGCAGCGUUAUUUAUAAUAGCUGAACUAUGGGAGCAGCCCCAGUGUCCAUCAACUGAUGAAUGAAUGAAGA